UGCCAUACAUUUAAAGCGCUCAUAUCUCACUGGUAACAGCCAUGGUCUCCCAGAUAAUCCUGGGAUGUGUAGUUUGUUAAGGGUGCUGAGAGUAAUGAGCUGCCACAGAGCUAUAAUUCUCAGCUCCCUUUAUACAAACUACACUUCCCAGAGCACUUUGCAGGAAGCCAUAACUUGAAAUUGAGGAACAGGAAAUGGUCUAAAUGGCUUUUGCCUUGCAUGUUUAUAAUUGAAACACCAUCCUGAGCAAAUCAAGCAUCUAGAAGUGUAAGCAAGUUUAAACAAAGCUAACAUGCGUGGAUGUUGAACGAUGGGGAAAUUUUUAAAAUAAAUAAUAUAAGAAUACAGGGCUAGUUCAAUUACACUAUACCAUAGGGUAUCAUAAGUAAGGGUAUGAGCAAGAAGCAAUUCCAGAAGGCCCAGGAGAAGCAGACGGCAGUGGUGAGGAGAGGGGAUUACUAGGAAUGAGAUCAGGAGAUGCUGGGGAGCUGCCAUGUUUGCAGGCAAGCAGUCAAGGCACAUGCAGGCUCUUCGGUCAGUGGGGCUCAGUACCCACCCGGACAAAUGUGCCAAACUCAAGCAGCCUGGAUUCAGCCUGGGAACAGGAGCCCUUCAGGGGGCUUCUGGCAUUUGAGGAUGAUGAUAACAUGGAUAGAAUACUGCCCUACUUUACAAAAGAGGUUAUGUGGAGAAGGUCCAUAGCACCUCCAGCUAGUGCUGGGAGUGCUCCUUUCCUGAAACCCUGGAGAGCUGCUGCCAGUCAGUGUAGACAGUACUGAGUUAGAUGGACCGCCGGUCUGACUCAUGUAAGGCAGCUUCCUGUCUUCCACUGAAACGUUAAUGGGGAGACACCUCGCAAACGGCUUCUUUUCGUAAGGAAGCCUUCCAUUAGCACCUACCGUGUGCCAUUUGGCUUUCCUUUUUAAAAAUAAGUUUUGAAAAUUCGUAGAGUUGUCACAUUUAUGAGUACUAGGAGAGCUAAUUAGUGCAGAAGCCAUUAGCCCUGCGUCUUUUACUUGGAAUGCUGAAAGCACCCCAAAAGCUGCCACUCCAGCUGGAAAGAAUUGUGCAAGUAUUUGCAGUUUGCACAGCAAGAGUAAUUGGCAGAAGCGUGAGAAUGUUGUAAUCUGCUCAGGAACAGGAAGGCAAAUAAAAGAUGCAUUCAUCCACCCCAAACGAGCAGGCAGAAGAAUUGGCUGGAAGCCUCAAAAGCCGUCCCCCCCCCCAACUCUCUGACACUGUAGGACUGGUACUAUUGAAGUCAAUUGAACUACUCCACAGUCUCCCUUGCCGCCCCUUUUUCUCCUGUGCCCAGUUAACUCUGCUGCUCAUCCUUGCUCAAACCCUAUCAAGAUUGCAACCUAAUAAUAAUAAUAAUAAGUAAUCCAGUCAUUUAAAAAUAAAAUAUUGGCCCAUGCCCUCCCCUCCAGGAAGCUAUCAGCUGCAAGGGAGCUCUUGUGCAACUUAUACCAAAUGCCCCUUCUUCUCACUUAUGUCUUAGGGAUAUUUAGCCUCUUGGUUUUUUUCCCAUAUUUGAGUUACACUUCUGAAUGAAUGAACUUUAUUACGGUCACAGACCAGCAUAAGAAAAAAAUUUCAUAUACCAGUAUGUAUUUUUUGUACUUUUGCCAACCUCUGGGAUUUCCCCUUAGCAUGAUGCUACCUCCAUUCUUGGCUUCCUCUGUUUUCCCUCCAUUUCCCUCAGCACUGCCCACCUGAGCUGUUAUUGGAGGAAAUGGCUGUUUCAUUAAAGGCAAACUGAAAGCAAGGUUUGUCACCUGCUUUGGCAUUGUAUGAUUUUUUAUUAUUAUUGAAACAAAAAGCUGCUGGAGGGAACCAGAUUAGGACUAUGGGGUGGGAAUGGUAGCAGUGGGGACACCAGUUGGGAUCACUGUAGGGGCAAUGGGUGAAUGCACAACCUGCUUUGGUCAGCUAGCAAUUGGUUUUUUUUUAAUUCAGUCUAGUGAAGAGAGAGGAUGAUAGAUAAAGUAUACACGCACUUCAGAUUUAUAUAGCGCUUGCACCGUUCAAAGCAUUUCACUGCAUACACUAUUUGCAUGUUGUUAUUGCAGAUGAGGAGGCUGAGGUUGAACUAACAGGGCCAGGUAGUGUAUAUGUGGCUGAGAGAUGUGAACCAGCAGCCUCACAGCUCAUUCUCUCAAGUCACUACACCAGGAAUGGGCUUUGGGAGGAAAGCAGUGAUUCCUGAUGACCCACCCACCAGCAGUGCCUUCUUGAGUUGGCUUUCUAGCAAUAUAACUUGCUGUUUAGAGGUAUAGGAUCAGCCUUGUAGGCCAAAUUUGACAGAAGGUGGGACUGCCCUUCUGUCAACCACCUCACAUCACAAUGACAUCAGGUGCAAGGUGCUUUGAAGUCCCAAAGUUGGGUUUCAAAGCACCUUGCAAGUCGUUGCCAAAAGGAAGGAUUUCCCCCUCUGCUUUUGCAGGGGAUUCCAUGCAAACACCCUUUCCUGAAAUUUUCCUGAAACAUUAAACAUUAAAGGGUUUGGUUGGAAUGCUGCCAAAAUGAGCAGGAUUUAACCCUACAUGGCUGAUGAGCAGGGUUGUUAAUUCCUGCUGCUUUGGCUGCAUGUGUUUAUUAACUGCUGGUAACAGGCGCAUGCAGCCAAUGCAGGAUUUAAGUCCAUCGGAUGAUAUAAUGAGUGUUGUCAGCUGAUGGGAAGGUGUGCAUGGUUAGAGGGAAAUGGUCUUAUAGGUCAACUUGGAUGCCUUGGUGGGCUAAGAUUAGCCCACAGGCCAGAGGUUCCCGGUCCCUGGGACAGAGGAAUACAGUACAGUGCUUACAAAAUUGCUGCCUUCCUUUUCUCCCCCAUGCCAGUUAUAUUUCUUGUAUUUAACUUUCAUUUGAUGCCAUUGCUGUAGAAUAUGGAAGCCUUUAUCCUGCUGUGAUUAAAAUCAGUCCCAAAAAAAGAGAGAACACAUUAAGUGUUAUAUCUAUGACAGUUUUUAUUACCCCCCCCCCUUUGUCACAGGCAUUGGCUCGGUAUGCUACACAACAAAGAAAGCCACACACAAGUGAUUAAAGUACUUGUUUCAGUUAAACACUGCUACAACAAAAUCCACAACAUCAUAGUUACAUAUUUAUGGCUCAGUGGUUAUCUAAAGAAACAUCAGAGGGAGAAAA